CCGGGUACAACCGGGCGAAGCGCCGGUAAACGGCGGGGGUAACUAUAACCCUCUUAAGGUAGCGAAAUUCCUUGUCGGGUAAGUUCCGACCUGCAUGAAUGGCGUAACGAGACCCCCACUGUCCCGGGCCGGAUCCCGGUGAACCUACCUUUCCGGUGCAAAGGCCGGAGACCCCCAGCGGGAAGCGAAGACCCCGUGGAGCUUUACUGCAGCCUGCCGUUGGGGCGUGGCCGUGGGUGCACAGCGUAGGUGGGAGGCGUCGAAGCCACCCCUCCGGGGGUGGUGGAGCCGCCCAUGGGACACCACCCACCCAUGGCCACGUCCCUAACCCGCGUAAGCGGGGACACCGGUAGGUGGGCAGUUUGGCUGGGGCGGCACCCCCCUGAAAAGGCAUCAGGGGGGCCCAAAGGUCGGCUCAGGCGGGUCAGAACUCCGCCGUUGAGUGCAAGGGCAAAAGCCGGCCUGACUCGGUCGGUAAAAGAGGCCGACCGAGAGGCGAAAGCCGGGCCUAGCGAACCCCUGUGCCUCACCGAUGGGGGCCAGGGAUAACAGAAAAGCUACCCCGGGGAUAACAGAGUUGUCGCGGGCAAGAGCCCAUAUCGACCCCGCGGCUUGCUACAUCGAUGUCGGUUCUUCCCAUCCUGGGCCUGCAGCAGGGCCCAAGGGUGGGGCUGUUCGCCCAUUAAAGGGGAUCGUGAGCUGGGUUUAAACCGUCGUGAGACAGGUUGGUUGCUAUCUGCUGGGGGUGUUGGCCGCCUGAGGGGAAGGUGGCUCUAGUACGAGAGGAACGAGCCGCCGGCGCCUCUGGUCUACCGGUUGUCCGGCAGGGCAUCGCCGGGCAGCUACGCGCUAAGGGAUAAGGCUGAAGGCAUCUAAGCCCGAAACCCUCCCCGAAAA
rnacentral:rRNA from 1 species